CUAAAGCACAGCGCUAUUAUUUUCUUGUCAGCAAGUGUUUCUCUUUUUUUGCAGAGCAUCAGAGGAUUUGGAUGCCCGCACCACAGGGACAGCAGGACGGAGGAAGCAGGAUGAUGUCAUCGCAUGGCAGUGCUGGAGUUUUCCUGCUCGCUCAAAGGACUUUUUUUUCCUCCGGUUGUGGUAACUGCCUUCGCCCCCGUUUAGCCGAAGCUCGGUACUUAAAUGAUGACCUGAAGAAAUUCCACGGCGGACAGAAGGAACAACAAUCACAACGGAAUCUCAAUUAAAAGCACAGAAAAGGCGCGUUUCAUAAGUAGGAUAAACGUUUGGUUCCAGACUUGGUUGUCCCCCGAGCCAACGCUUCCCCUCUAAUCCCAUUAUGCGUGGAGCUGGAACAGGAAGACAUACCAGGAGCACUUUCCUGCUGGCAUCUUGAUUUCACUGCCACUCUUGCGGAGGAUCCAGACGGCGGCUUCUUCAGGAAGAGAAGCAACAAAUUGAAACACCGCUCGCCGUCGUGGCUGAGCGCCCGAGUCCCGGGAUGACUUCGGGGGCCGGGAAUCUGAAAAAUCAAAAAAGAUAAAAAGGCAGAGCGAGCGAGAGGGUGGAGAAAUUAUUGUCAGGUGAGUUACGAGGUAACGGCAAAGGCGAGACACAGAGUAGCAAGACGGAUGGCAAAGGGCGGAAGUGAGGCAGAAGGGGUUCAGAAGUGCGAUUAACAGUAGUUUCACAGUCAAAAUUGAAUUGGAAUUUUUGCAGCUUCGCGGAAGGACCGACCGGGAGUCUGAGAUAGGCCAUCGCCUAAACCGACUACUUCCUCUCUAAUCGAGUAGCUUCCUCUUUCUCGGCCACCCACUCGCCAGCACAAACAAAUGACCCUUUUCCCAGCUGACACUGACAAUCAAAGAAUGUGGCUACAUUUAGUAGCUAACACACAAUAAUACAUGCACAUCUUUUAGCCGGGACUGGCAACAUAUCUAAAAACAGUCCGGAUGAUAAUUGGCCGGUGUGCGCUUGAGAGGCGGGACUUAGCAUGAGGUCCACUGCAGCAGUCUGUUCUCUCCACCCACACUGCAAUACACCUCGUCAAAAUAAAUCAACACCAGUGCAGUGAACAGUUUCAUUCUACCAGCAAGUGAUAAAAACAAUUGCCUUUUCAAACUUUUUAAGAGGGCUGCUGCGAUAGAACACAGCAAUGAGUUCUCCCAAGAAUGUUGUGGUGGUGUUUUGUUUGUUGUCUGCGGCUUUCCUGGAGCCGAGCCUCUCCAUCGGUUCCCUCUCAGCAUUGCAACAGCACAUAAUGUUGGACCGCUUUAAGCUUACAUUCUUUUGUUCCUUUUCCCCUCGAACACACUGUGGACUCAAAAGCUUCUGAGGAUCACUACGUAGCCGUGCAGCAUGUGGUGCUCCUCCACCCUUAACAGCACCCUUGUCACUGUGGAUGAGCAUUUUUGUAAGCGCCUCUUCUUCUGUGGAAAACGGUUCCAAUUCGUUUAAGGGAGAACAAAACAUUCAAGUUACCUUGAGAUUUACAGCUCCGCCAACUCCACUUCCACAUAGUGUACAAACACAUGCCCGGACCCACUGUACACACUGUGGAAAUGGAUACACACGUGCUGUACUAGAUUACACCACAAAGUACACAGGCAAACGGGCUCCCAGAGUCUCUCGGCAUAAUUACGCAUAAAGUGAUACGACCGUACGAUGCGGUUCCCCUUUACAUUAAUGCGACGCACAUGGUCUGGGUGUGUAGAUUUGUGUUGUCAUCGGCGUGAUAGUAUUUACUCUGUGUGCUCACCUGCUGUCCCAAUUAUAUCAUGGAAUAUUCCGCUGUGCCUCGGUGCACAAAUGUUUCUAUAGUGAUUUGCAUGCAGCCACAGGUAAUUAUCCAUUGGGGGAAUAUUGUAUGCCCUUAAUGAAUGUGUUUGUGUGCGAGUGUGCGUGCAUGCGCCUUCUGCAGCUAGUGGUCCCUCACAGUCUCAUUAAAUGUGGUCUCUGGCAGGGACUGUAGCGCUGCAAAUUCUCCGGGUGUGGUGGCGCUGGCUUCAAUUUCCCGUUUCGAUCAGUGUGUGCGCAUGUGUGUGUGUGUGUGUGUCACUGCUUAUAAGCCGUAGAUUCCAUUCUGAUUGAUCCCAUAACAUUCCACUUGUUGGCCUUCCACCAGACAAACUCUGGUUUUAAUCUCUUUUGUGUGUGUUUUUGUAUACAUGAGUUUGUGUCUCGCGUGUGCAGCAGGCGCGGUUCUGCCGCACACUGAAAAGGAGCCUGGACACCAUCGUAAAGCAAUGCAGCCACAAAGAAAUUGAAAAAGCAGCGGUAACAGUAAUUUGAGUCCGGACGGUUUGGGAAAUAUUGGCAAGUGGGGAAUAAUUCAAUGCAAUCCUUCUUUCCUGCUUGGCGGCCUCUACUGCUUUUCUAUUUGGACAUUUUUCCAGUUUUGAAAACCUUUCCCUCGUCUCCAUCCCUUUGUGCCCCCUCUCCCUCUCCGACUGGUCCUCCUCCUGAGUUGUGUUUUUCAGACGGACACUCUAGCGCUGGUUGGUGGGAGCGUUGGACAAAUUGGAGCCAGGGGCCGUGGGGGGUCAAAGGUGACGCGAUGUCUGAAGCUGCUGAGAAUAAAGCUCUCGGAAGGUGGACAUCGGUCUGCAGGCGUGAUGCAAGAGGACCGUUUAUGUGACACCGCAGGCCAAGCAUAUAUCAUAGAGGUGUAUAGCCACACAAUAAAAGCAUCACUUAUUGAUUAGCAUUAUUAAAUUGAACAUUAACAAAAUAAAAUCAGAGUUCCAUAGCACGUUUUUAAUUAUAUUGAUUUUUUAAAGGUAAAAUGAUCCAGUAAUUCACAAGAAGGAAAGAAAAGUGGAUACAUUUAAUACAGUAUAUAAAAAAAACGAGGCCUACAUAUGUACUGGGAGUAAUGCGUGAGGAAGAAGCAGCCAGAUAAUAAAAUAUAUUAUUAAACCGAUCUGCUGCGUUUUGUUGUGACCUCAGGGACAGCUUCUCAUACUUGAGACUCAGAUAGACGAGCAGGAGGACUGCAGCAGCAGUCUAACAACAUUUAGAGGAGGCAGCUUCUCUUUGAAACCCACAAGACGCAUUUGGGAGGAGCAUCAUUACUAAAGGAGUUACGCGUUUGUAUCACGUCUAUCGCAGAAACCACAAACUGCCAUUAAUAAUGCACUCGGACACAACCGCACUCAUUAAGUUCACUCCCACCGAUAUCAACAAGGUGGAAAAAACGUGGUAAGUUUUAUUGUAUAUGCACAACAAGCUAAAUGCAGAAUAAAAGUUGCAGUGCGGUUAUAACGCAAUACAUUUCAACAGCGUAAACAAACGACAGGCUCCACAAUGUUCAUCAAGUGGGUUCAUUCUCCCUCUAAACAAAAACGGAAGCGCUGUGGCAUUUGCCCCCGAUCCCAAACGUCUCCCCUGAACCCUGAACCAAACUGUGUAAAAAGGAACGGGACAGUUCUUUGACAUUGACAUUUAUGAACCACGUUACCAUGACGUCAAAAACAUGAUUCAAAAUUGAGGGGUUUUUUUUCCUUCUUUUUACUCUUGUCUUGUUAAAAUUGCUUUAACGACAAAAUGUAAUGUUUGAUGAAUAAAUGAAUAAAUCUUUAAACCAUG
ensembl:lncRNA